ACUUCGGUACAUCGGUGACAGGUGGUGCAUGGUUGUCGUCAGCUCGUGUCGUGAGAUGUUGGGUUAAGUCCCGCAACGAGCGCAACCCCUAUUGUUAGUUUGCCAUCAUUCAGUUGGGCACUCUAGCGAGACUGCCGGUAAUAAACUGGAGGAAGGUGGGAUGACGUCAAAUCAUCAUGCCCCUUAUGACCUGGGCUACACACGUGCUACAAUGGUUGGUACAACGAGUUGCGAGUCGGUGACGGCGAGCUAAUCUCUUAAAGCCAAUCUCAGUUCGGAUUGUAGGCUGCAACUCGCCUACAUGAAGUCGGAAUCGCUAGUAAUCGCGGAUCAGCACGCCGCGGUGAAUACGUUCCCGGGCCUU
rnacentral:rRNA from 1 species